rnacentral:rRNA from 1 species
AUUGAACGCUGGCGGCAUGCCUUACACAUGCAAGUCGAACGGUAACAGGCCGCAAGGUGCUGACGAGUGGCGAACGGGUGAGUAAUGCAUCGGAACGUGCCCAGUCGUGGGGGAUAACGCAGCGAAAGCUGUGCUAAUACCGCAUACGAUCUAUGGAUGAAAGCGGGGGACCGUAAGGCCUCGUGCGAUUGGAGCGGCCGAUGUCAGAUUAGGUAGUUGGUGGGGUAAAGGCCCACCAAGCCAACGAUCUGUAGCUGGUCUGAGAGGACGACCAGCCACACUGGGACUGAGACACGGCCCAGACUCCUACGGGAGGCAGCAGUGGGGAAUUUUGGACAAUGGGCGCAAGCCUGAUCCAGCAAUGCCGCGUGCAGGAAGAAGGCCUUCGGGUUGUAAACUGCUUUUGUACGGAACGAAACGGUCUGGGUUAAUACCCUGGGCUAAUGACGGUACCGUAAGAAUAAGCACCGGCUAACUACGUGCCAGCCGCCGCAGUAAAAC